rnacentral:ncRNA from 1 species
CAGGGUCAGUGACUAGGGUGAAGUCGUAACAAGGCAUGGGUAGCGGAAGCUGCUCAUGGAUCACCUCCUUU